rnacentral:rRNA from 1 species
GGGUUGUGAGGUUAAGCGACUAAGCGUACACGGUGGAUGCCCUGGCAGUCAGAGGCGAUGAAGGACGUGCUAAUCUGCGAAAAGCGUCGGUAAGGUGAUAUGAACCGUUACAGCCGGCGAUGUCCGAAUGGGGAAACCCAGUGCAAUUCGUUGCACUAUCGUUAACUGAAUACAUAGGUUAACGAGGCGAACCGGGGGAACUGAAACAUCUAAGUACCCCGAGGAAAAGAAAUCAACCGAGAUUCCCCCAGUAGCGGCGAGCGAACGGGGAGCAGCCCAGAGUCUGAAUCAGCUUGUGUGUUAGUGGAACGGUCUGGAAAGUCCGACGGUACAGGGUGAUAGUCCCGUACACCAAAAUGCACAGGUUGUGAACUCGAAGAGUAGGGCGGGACACGUGGUAUCCUGUCUGAAUAUGGGGGGACCAUCCUCCAAGGCUAAAUACUCCUGACUGACCGAUAGUGAACCAGUACCGUGAGGGAAAGGCGAAAAGAACCCCGGCGAGGGGAGUGAAAAAGAACCUGAAACCGUGUACGUACAAGCAGUGGGAGCACCUUCGGGUGUGACUGCGUACCUUUUGUAUAAUGGGUCAGCGACUUAUAUUCUGUAGCAAGGUUAACCGUAUAGGGGAGCCGCAGGGAAACCGAGUCUUAACUGGGCGUUAAGUUGCAGGGUAUAGACCCGAAACCCGGUGAUCUAGCCAUGGGCAGGUUGAAGGUUGGGUAACACUAACUGGAGGACCGAACCGACUAAUGUUGAAAAAUUAGCGGAUGACUUGUGGCUGGGGGUGAAAGGCCAAUCAAACCGGGAGAUAGCUGGUUCUCCCCGAAAGCUAUUUAGGUAGCGCCUCGUGAACUCAUCUUCGGGGGUAGAGCACUGUUUCGGCUAGGGGGUCAUCCCGACUUACCAACCCGAUGCAAACUACGAAUACCGAAGAAUGUUAUCACGGGAGACACACGGCGGGUGCUAACGUCCGUCGUGAAGAGGGAAACAACCCAGACCGCCAGCUAAGGUCCCAAAGUCAUGGUUAAGUGGGAAACGAUGUGGGAAGGCACAGACAGCCAGGAUGUUGGCUUAGAAGCAGCCAUCAUUUAAAGAAAGCGUAAUAGCUCACUGGUCGAGUCGGCCUGCGCGGAAGAUGUAACGGGGCUAAACCAUGCACCGAAGCUGCGGCAGCGACACUAUGUGUUGUUGGGUAGGGGAGCGUUCUGUAAGCCUGCGAAGGUGUGCUGUGAGGCAUGCUGGAGGUAUCAGAAGUGCGAAUGCUGACAUAAGUAACGAUAAAGCGGGUGAAAAGCCCGCUCGCCGGAAGACCAAGGGUUCCUGUCCAACGUUAAUCGGGGCAGGGUGAGUCGACCCCUAAGGCGAGGCCGAAAGGCGUAGUCGAUGGGAAACAGGUUAAUAUUCCUGUACUGUGAGGCAUGCUGGAGGUAUCAGAAGUGCGAAUGCUGACAUAAGUAACGAUAAAGCGGGUGAAAAGCCCGCUCGCCGGAAGACCAAGGGUUCCUGUCCAACGUUAAUCGGGGCAGGGUGAGUCGACCCCUAAGGCGAGGCCGAAAGGCGUAGUCGAUGGGAAACAGGUUAAUAUUCCUGUACUUGGUGUUACUGCGAAGGGGGGACGGAGAAGGCUAUGUUAGCCGGGCGACGGUUGUCCCGGUUUAAGCAUGUAGGCUGAUUGUCCAGGCAAAUCCGGAUAAUCAAGGCUGAGGUGUGAUGACGAGGCACUACGGUGCUGAAGUAACAAAUGCCCUGCUUCCAGGAAAAGCCUCUAAGCAUCAGGUAACAUUAAAUCGUACCCCAAACCGACACAGGUGGUCAGGUAGAGAAUACCAAGGCGCUUGAGAGAACUCGGGUGAAGGAACUAGGCAAAAUGGUGCCGUAACUUCGGGAGAAGGCACGCUGGUGUGUAGGUGAAGUCCCUGCGGAUGGAGCUGAGACCAGUCGAAGAUACCAGCUGGCUGCAACUGUUUAUUAAAAACACAGCACUGUGCAAACACGAAAGUGGACGUAUACGGUGUGACGCCUGCCCGGUGCCGGAAGGUUAAUUGAUGGGGUUAUCCGUAAGGAGAAGCUCUUGAUCGAAGCCCCGGUAAACGGCGGCCGUAACUAUAACGGUCCUAAGGUAGCGAAAUUCCUUGUCGGGUAAGUUCCGACCUGCACGAAUGGCGUAAUGAUGGCCAGGCUGUCUCCACCCGAGACUCAGUGAAAUUGAACUCGCUGUGAAGAUGCAGUGUACCCGCGGCAAGACGGAAAGACCCCGUGAACCUUUACUAUAGCUUGACACUGAACAUUGAGCCUUGAUGUGUAGGAUAGGUGGGAGGCUUUGAAGCGUGGACGCCAGUCUGCGUGGAGCCAACCUUGAAAUACCACCCUUUAAUGUUUGAUGUUCUAACGUUGGCCCCUGACCGGGGUUGCGGACAGUGUCUGGUGGGUAGUUUGACUGGGGCGGUCUCCUCCCAAAGCGUAACGGAGGAGCACGAAGGUUAGCUAAUCCUGGUCGGACAUCAGGAGGUUAGUGCAAUGGCAUAAGCUAGCUUGACUGCGAGCGUGACGGCGCGAGCAGGUGCGAAAGCAGGUCAUAGUGAUCCGGUGGUUCUGAAUGGAAGGGCCAUCGCUCAACGGAUAAAAGGUACUCCGGGGAUAACAGGCUGAUACCGCCCAAGAGUUCAUAUCGACGGCGGUGUUUGGCACCUCGAUGUCGGCUCAUCACAUCCUGGGGCUGAAGUAGGUCCCAAGGGUAUGGCUGUUCGCCAUUUAAAGUGGUACGCGAGCUGGGUUUAGAACGUCGUGAGACAGUUCGGUCCCUAUCUGCCGUGGGCGCUGGAGAAUUGAGGGGGGCUGCUCCUAGUACGAGAGGACCGGAGUGGACGCAUCACUGGUGUUCGGGUUGUCAUGCCAAUGGCACUGCCCGGUAGCUAAAUGCGGAAGAGAUAAGUGCUGAAAGCAUCUAAGCACGAAACUUGCCCCGAGAUGAGUUCUCCCUGAGACUUUAAGUCUCCUGAAGGAACGUUGAAGACGACGACGUUGAUAGGCCGGGUGUGUAAGCGCAGCGAUGCGUUGAGCUAACCGGUACUAAUGAACCGUGAGGCUUAACCUUACAACGCCGAAG